rnacentral:rRNA from 1 species
GUGCCAGCAGCCGCGGUAAUACGGAGGGUCCGAGCGUUAAUCGGAAUUACUGGGCGUAAAGCGUGCGCAGGCGGUUUGUUAAGCCAGAUGUGAAAUCCCCGGGCUCAACCUGGGAAUUGCAUUUGGAACUGGCGAACUAGAGUCUUGUAGAGGGGGGUAGAAUUUCAGGUGUAGCGGUGAAAUGCGUAGAUAUCUGAAGGAAUACCAGUGGCGAAGGCGGCCCCCUGGACAAAGACUGACGCUCAUGCACGAAAGCGUGGGGAGCAAACAGGAUUAGAUACCCUGGUAGUCC